rnacentral:rRNA from 1 species
CAGUAGCCACGGUAAUACGUAGGUGGCAAGCGUUGUCCGGAAUUAUUGGGCGUAAAGGGCUCGCAGGCGGUUUCUUAAGUCUGAUGUGAAAGCCCCCGGCUCAACCGGGGAGGGUCAUUGGAAACUGGGAAACUUGAGUGCAGAAGAGGAGAGUGGAAUUCCACGUGUAGCGGUGAAAUGCGUAGAGAUGUGGAGGAACACCAGUGGCGAAGGCGACUCUCUGGUCUGUAACUGACGCUGAGGAGCGAAAGCGUGGGGAGCGAACAGGAUUAGAUACCCCAGUAGUCCCUGUCUCUUAUAU